rnacentral:lncRNA from 1 species
GAAGUUGACGGAUAAGUUAUGUUUCAGUUUGACUAAUUAUCCUUUUAAAACUUUAAGGUAUCGUUUGGUUCGGGGAUAACCAAAAAAUGAUUAUUCCAGGGAUAGAUAUAAAUUGAGGUAUAAGCGGGGAUUAGAUCAAUUUUGCGUUUGGAUGAAAAUUAGGUUAUUUUUAGGAAUAAAAAAAAAUAGCGUUUGGUUAGAUAAGAUGAAAUAAGAAAGAUAGUAGAUUUUUAUAAAUAAAAAAUAAUAAUAUUACCAUCUUAUUAUAUUUGAAUUUAAAUUUUUAAAAUUUAAAAUUUAAAAUUUUAACUUUAAAUUUAAAAUUUUAAAAUUAAAAUUUAAAAUUUAAAAUCUCAAAUUUUAAAUUCAAAAUUUUAAAUUUUAAAUUUCAAACUUUAAAUUUAAGUUCAAAUUUAAAUUUAAAAAAUAUAAAAUAUAAAAUUUUAAAUUUCAAAAAUAAAAUAUCAAAAUUUAAUUUUAAAAUUUAAAAUUUAAAAUUAUAAACUUUAAUUUUGAGAUUAUAAAUUAUAAAUUUUAACAAUUUAAAUUUUUAAUUUUUAAAAUUUUAAAAUAAGAAUAGGGAUGGGAACAAUUAAUAAAAAUAAUUUAUUAUAAUAAAUUUAUAAAUUUUUUUAAAAUUCUACUUAAAUUUAAAUUUAAUAAAAAAAAUUUAUUAUAAUAUUUAAAUAUAAUUUAUUAUAAAUUUUAUUAUAAUAUUUAAAUAUAAAUAAUAUGUAUUAAUAUAGUACAAUUAAUAAUUUUAUAAUAAAAAUAAUUUAUUAUAAUAUAUAACAUAUUAUAUUUAUAUAAUUUAGUUUAAUUCAAUUUAUAAUUUUAAUUAAGUUUGAAAUUAAGCAUUGUAAUAGCGCUAUUCCACCAAAGUGGUGGAAUAGCAAAUCCCUUGCUAUUCCAGGAUAACCGGGAAUAGUAAGGUUUGACCGGAAUAUUUUAUCCCGACAAUAAAUCUUUCCGUUUGGCAGAAUAGCGAGGAUAACGAAAGUUAUCCCCGCUUAUCCCCUGAACCAAUUAGGGCCUAAGUGUU